rnacentral:rRNA from 1 species
UACAGAGGGGGCAAGCGUUGUUCGGAAUUACUGGGCGUAAAGGGCGCGUAGGCGGCCUUCUAAGUCGAACGUGAAAUCCCUGGGCUCAACCCAGGAACUGCGUCCGAUACUGGAAGGCUUGAAUCCGGGAGAGGGAUGCGGAAUUCCAGGUGUAGCGGUGAAAUGCGUAGAUAUCUGGAGGAACAUCGGUGGCGAAGGCGGCAUCCUGGACCGGUAUUGAUGCUGAGGCGCGAAAGCCAGGGGAGCAAACGGG